CAUAUGUGUGCACAGAACAUUACAUUAGUGUGUGCACCCAGAGAAAAAAAUAUAGUUAGCUAAAAUAUGUGCCCAAUCCAAAUUUAACAAAUAACUAGUUGUAUACGGAGGAUUUCUUCAAAAACAUAAUAAGCUUAUCCCAACUCACACAUACGUGCUGGGCAGAGCUAGAUAAGACACAUAAAAGGACAAUUUGGCCCUGAAUUACUGUGUGCCUAUGCACACCUGGCACACCCCCUGUGCACACCUAAUAGGGUGAUUAUAAUGACC